UACGGAGGGUGCGAGCGUUGUCCGGAAUUAUUGGGCGUAAAGCGCGUGUAGGCGGUCCGGUAAGUCGGCUGUGAAAGUCGGGGGGCUCAACCCUCGAAUGCCGGUGGAUACUGUCGGGCUAGAGUGCGGAAGAGGCGAGUGGAAUUCCUGGUGUAGCGGUGAAAUGCGCAGAUAUCAGGAGGAACACCAAUUGCGAAGGCAGCUCGCUGGGGACGUUACUGACGCUGAGACGCGAAAAGCGUGGGGGAGCAAACAGG
rnacentral:rRNA from 1 species